rnacentral:rRNA from 1 species
UAGCAAUACGGGAGUGGCAGACGGGUGAGUAACGCGUGGGAACAUACCCUCCGGUUCGGAAUAACUCAGGGAAACUUGAGCUAAUACCGGAUACGGCUUAGCGGCGAAAGAUUCAUCGCCGGAGGAUUGGCCCGCGUUCGAUUAGCUUGUUGGUGAGGUAACGGCUCACCAAGGCGACGAUCGAUAGCUGGUCUGAGAGGAUGAUCAGCCACAUUGGGACUGAGACACGGCCCAAACUCCUACGGGAGGCAGCAGUGGGGAAUAUUGGACAAUGGGCGCAAGCCUGAUCCAGCCAUGCCGCGUGAGUGAUGACGGCCUUCGGG